GACGAACGCUGGCGGCGUGCCUAAUACAUGCAAGUCGAACGCUGAAGGAGGAGCUUGCUUCUCUGGAUGAGUUGCGAACGGGUGAGUAACGCGUAGGUAACCUGCCUGGUAGCGGGGGAUAACUAUUGGAAACGAUAGCUAAUACCGCAUAAGAGUAGAUGUUGCAUGACAUUUGCUUAAAAGGUGCAAUUGCAUCACUACCAGAUGGACCUGCGUUGUAUUAGCUAGUUGGUGGGGUAACGGCUCACCAAGGCGACGAUACGUAGCCGACCUGAGAGGGUGAUCGGCCACACUGGGACUGAGACACGGCCCAGACUCCUACGGGAGGCAGCAGUAGGGAAUCUUCGGCAAUGGACGGAAGUCUGACCGAGCAACGCCGCGUGAGUGAAGAAGGUUUUCGGAUCGUAAAGCUCUGUUGUAAGAGAAGAACGAGUGUGAGAGUGGAAAGUUCACACUGUGACGGUAUCUUACCAGAAAGGGACGGCUAACUACGUG
rnacentral:rRNA from 1 species